rnacentral:SRP_RNA from 1 species
GCUGGGAGUAGUAGCAUGUGCCUGUAAGUCCCAUCUACUUGGAGCGCUGAGGCAGGAGAAUCACUUGAGCCCAGGAGUUUGAGACCAGUUUGUGCAACACAGAGAGACUCCUGUCUCUACAAAAAAUGAAAAAAUUAGCUGGGCGUGGUGGUGCACACCUGUGGUCAGCCUCAACAUGGUGACUUCCCAGGAGUGAGGGACCACCAGGCUGCCUAAGGUGGGGUAAACCAGCCCAGGUCAGAAAAGGAGCAGGUCAAACUCCCAUGCUGGUUAGUAGUGGGAUUGCACCUAUGAAUAGACACUGCACUCCAGCCUGGGCAAUAUAGCAAGAACCUGUCUUAA